CUACGGGUUGCACCAGUGAGGAAUUUUCCGCAAUGGGCGCAAGCCUGACGGAGCGACGCCGUGUGUAGGAUGAAAUCUUUCGGGAUUUAAACUACUGUCAGAGGGGAAGAUAUUGACGGUACCCUCAGAGGAAGCCCCGGCUAACUACGUGCCAGCAGCCGCGGUAAUACGUAGGGGGCAAGCGUUGUCCGGAAUUAUUGGGCGUAAAGGGCGUGUAGGCGGUCUUGUAAGUCAGAUGUUAAAUCUCCGGGCUCAACCCGGAUCCGCAUUUGAAACUGCAAGACUUGAGAAUGGUAGAGGAAAGCGGAACUUCCAGUGUAGCGGUGACAUGCGUAGAUAUUGGAAGGAACACCAGUGGCGAAGGCGGCUUUCUGGGCCAUUUCUGACGCUGAGACGCGAAAGCUAGGGGAGCAAACGGGAUUAGAUACCCCUGUAGUC
rnacentral:rRNA from 1 species